AACGAACGCUGGCGGCAUGCCUAACACAUGCGAGUCGAACGAAACCUUCGGGCCUGGUGGCGCACGGGGGCGUAACGCGGGGGAACCUGCCCAUAGGUUCGGAAUAACUCCCCGAAAGGGGUGCGAAUACCGGAGAAUGUCUUCCGACCAACGGUUUAUCGCCUUUGGAUGGGCCCGCGUUGGAUUAGCUAGUGGGUAGGGUAAACGCCUACCAAGGGGACGAUGCAUAGCUGGUAUGAGAGGCUGAGCCGCGACACUGGGGCUGAGCCACGGUCCAGAAUCCUGCGCGAGGCGGCAGUGGCUAAUCUUGGCAUGUGGGCUGAAUCAUGAUCCAGCACUGCCGCGUGAGUGAUGAAGGCCUUAGGGUUGUAAAGCUCUUUUACCCGGGAUGAUAAUGACAGUACCGGGAGAAUAAGCUCCGGCUAACUCCGUG
rnacentral:rRNA from 1 species